GUUCGGCACGGAGGUUCCGAUCGGGGGCGUUUCGUUCCUCCGCUGCAGCCGUUUGGGGUCGGGGGGGGGCGCAGGUGGGGCUGCGGGAACGAACGGGGGUGGGGCGGGACGGGCGGUGUGCGCCGUUGGGUUUGGGGUGCGGAGACACCGCUAUGGCGGAGCGGCUUUGGAGGAGGGGAGGAAAAUGGGGAGGGGGACGGAGAGAAAUGGGAGAGAGAGAGAAAGGAGCGGGGGGGGGGGAGGAAGAGGAGGGGAGGGAGGAAGAAAAAACAGAGGGAAAAAAGGGGGGGGAAGAAAAAUUGGGAAAAAGAAAAACGGAGAGAAAAUUGGGAAAAAAGGAGAGAAAAAUAAAAAUAAAAUCAAAGGAAAGAAGAAACCAGAAAAAAUAGAGGAAAAUAACUAAAAAAUGUGAGAAAAGAAAAAAGGAAAGAAAGGAAAAAAAGGAAAAAAGAUGAAAAGAAAAAGCAACAAAAGGAAAAAUGAGGAAGAAAAAGGAAAAGAAGGAAAAGCCAAAAGAAAUGAGAAAAAGGAAAAGAGAGGAAAAAGAAUAAAUAAAAAGAAAGAGGAAAAGGGGGGAAAUGAAACAAAGAAAAAGAAAAAAAAGAAAGGAAAAAUCAUAAAAAGAAACAAGAAAAGAGAAAUGAGAAAUCAAAGCAGAGGAAGGGGAGCGCAGGCGGGGGGCAGCGCGGGGGGCUCAGCCCCACACACAGCUCCACGUCUGCACAAACCCGACCCCGCUGCCCCACUGCUUCUCCUCCCAGUGCUGCUCUGCCCCAUAGCCUGCCAGGGUGGGGGGCUGCGCUGGGGAGCCUCCAUCAAUGGGAGCCUUCAUCAGUGGGAACCUCCAUCAUGGGGAACAUCCAUCAGUGGGAACCUCCAUCAAUGGGAACCUCCAUCAGUGGGAACCGCGCUCAUGGGGAGCACCUCCAUCAAUGGGGGAACCUCCAUCAAUGGGAACCAUCAUCAAUGGGAACCUCCAUCAGUGGGAACCUCAGUCAGUGGGAACCGCGCUUAUGGGGAGUACCUCCAUCAAUGGGGGAACCUCUAUCAAUGGGGGAACCUCCAUCAGUGGAGCCUCCAUCAUGGGAGGAAGCUCCGUUAAGGGGACCCUCCAUCAAUGGGAUCCUCCAUUGCAGAGAAACCUCAGUGACGGGGAAACAUCCCUAAUGGGGAAACCUCCACCACAG
ensembl:lncRNA